AACGAACGCUGGCGGCAUGCCUAACACAUGCAAGUCGAACGAGACCUUCGGGUCUAGUGGCGCACGGGUGCGUAACGCGUGGGAACCUGCCCUUAGGUUCGGAAUGACUCCCCGAAAGGGGUGCUAAUACCGGAUAAUGUCUUCGGACCAAAGAUUUAUCGCCUUUGGAUGGGCCCGCGUUGGAUUAGCUAGUUGGUAGGGUAAAAGCCUACCAAGGCGACGAUCCAUAGCUGGUCUGAGAGGAUGAUCGGCCACACUGGGACUGAGACACGGCCCAGACUCCUACGGGAGGCAGCAGUGGGGAAUAUUGGACAAUGGGCGAAAGCCUGAUCCAGCAAUGCCGCGUGAGUGAUGAAGGCCUUAGGGUUGUAAAGCUCUUUUACCCGGGAUGAUAAUGACAGUACCGGGAGAAUAAGCUCCGGCUAACUCCGUG
rnacentral:rRNA from 1 species